UACAGAGGUCUCAAGCGUUGUUCGGAUUCAUUGGGCGUAAAGGGUGCGUAGGCGGCGAGGCAAGUCAGGUGUGAAAUCUCGGGGCUCAACUCCGAAACUGCACUUGAUACUGCCUUGCUAGAGUACUGGAGAGGAGAUUGGAAUUUACGGUGUAGCAGUGAAAUGCGUAGAUAUCGUGAGGAACACCAGAGGCGAAGGCGGUUCCCUGGACAGUUACUGACGCUCAGGCACGAAAGCAUGGGGAGCAAACAGG
rnacentral:rRNA from 1 species